GGAAUCUUGGGCAAUGGGCGAAAGCCUGACCCAGCGACGCCGCGUGGAGGACGCAGGCCUUCGGGUCGUAAACUCCUGUUCUUGGGGACGAGAAUGACGGUACCCAAGGAGAAAGCCCCGGCUAACUCCGUGCCAGCAGCCGCGGUAAUACGGGGGGGGCAAGCGUUGUUCGGAAUUACUGGGCGUAAAGGGUGUGUAGGCGGUCUAGGAAGUCUGAGGUGAAAGUCCCCGGCUCAACCGGGGGAGGACCUCAGAAACCCGGAGACUGGAGAGCUAGAGAGGGAAGCGGAAUUCCCGGUGGAGCGGUGAAAUGCGUAGAUAUCGGGAGGAACAUCGGAGGCGAAGGCGGCUUCCUGGACAGCAUCUGACGCUGAGGCACGAAAGCUAGGGGAGCGAAC
rnacentral:rRNA from 1 species